GACGAAGGGGGCUAGCGUUGUUCGGAAUUACUGGGCGUAAAGCGAGUGUAGGUGGUUUUCCAAGUUGGAUGUGAAAGCCUUGAGCUCAACUCAAGAAAUGCAUUCAGGACUGGGAGACUAGAGGACCGGAGAGGAUAGUGGAAUUCCCAGUGUAGUGGUGAAAUACGUAGAGAUUGGGAAGAACACCAGUGGCGAAGGCGGCUAUCUGGACGGUUUCUGACACUAAGACUCGAAAGCGUGGGGAGCAAACAGGAUUAGAAACCCCGGUAGU
rnacentral:rRNA from 1 species